rnacentral:rRNA from 1 species
GAUGAACGCUGGCGGCGUGCCUAAUACAUGCAAGUCGAGCGAACAGACGAGGAGCUUGCUCCUCUGACGUUAGCGGCGGACGGGUGAGUAACACGUGGAUAACCUACCUAUAAGACUGGGAUAACUUCGGGAAACCGGAGCUAAUACCGGAUAAUAUAUUGAACCGCAUGGUUCAAUAGUGAAAGACGGUUUUGCUGUCACUUAUAGAUGGAUCCGCGCCGCAUUAGCUAGUUGGUAAGGUAACGGCUUACCAAGGCAACGAUGCGUAGCCGACCUGAGAGGGUGAGCGGCCACACUGGAACUGAGACACGGUCCAGACUCCUACGGGGGGCAGCAGUAGGGAAUCUUCCGCAAUGGGCGAAAGCCUGACGGAGCAACGCCGCGUGAGUGAUGAAGGUCUGCGGAUCGUAAAACUCUGUUAUUAGGGAAAAAAAAAUGUGUAAGUAACUAUGCACGUCUUGACGGUACCUAAUCAGAAAGCCACGGCUAACUACG